rnacentral:rRNA from 1 species
UACGAAGGGGGCUAGCGUUGUUCGGAUUUACUGGGCGUAAAGCGCACGUAGGCGGAUCGUUAAGUCGGGGGUGAAAUCCUGGAGCUCAACUCCAGAACUGCCUUCGAUACUGGCGAUCUUGAGUCCGGAAGAGGUGAGUGGAACUCCUAGUGUAGAGGUGGAAUUCGUAGAUAUUAGGAAGAACACCAGUGGCGAAGGCAGCUCGCUGGGACGUGACUGACGCUGAGACGCGAAAGCGUGGGGAGCAAACAGG